GGAUGAAGGCCUUCGGGUUGUAAACCCCUUUCAGCAGGGACGAAGCGAAAGUGACGGUACCUGCAGAAGAAGCGCCGGCUAACUACGUGCCAGCAGCCGCGGUAACACGUAGGGCGCAAGCGUUGUCCGGAAUUAUUGGGCGUAAAGAGCUCGUAGGCGGUCUGUUGCGUCCGCUGUGAAAACUCGGGGCUUAACCCCGAGCCUGCAGUGGAUACGGGCAGACUAGAGGUAGGUAGGGGAGAAUGGAAUUCCCGGUGUAGCGGUGAAAUGCGCAGAUAUCGGGAGGAACACCGGUGGCGAAGGCGGUUCUCUGGGCCUUACCUGACGCUGAGGACCGAAAGCGUGGGGAGCAAACAGGAUUAGAUACCCUGGUAGUCCACGCCGUAAACGUUGGGCGCUAGGUGUGGGACCCUUCCACGGGUUCCGUGCCGCAGUUAACGCAUUAAGCGCCCCGCCUGGGGAGUACGGCCGCAAGGCUA
rnacentral:rRNA from 1 species